ensembl:miRNA
UAUGAAAAAUGUAAGGCUUCAUGACAUCUGUUCUUCUCACUGCCCCAAGAAGCCUGGACUUGUGGGUUUGUGGCUCUGCUGUGCACAGGUCCUGGCGUCUGGGUGCUGGAGAGAAGGACGGGUUACUCCACUGCGGCAGAGCA